CCCACGUACAGUAUCAGACAACUAAAGCGAAAGCAUUACCGUCAAGCAUGUUUUCAUUGGCCAAUGAGCGAAAGUCAGAGGCUCGAAGACGAUCAGAUACCGUCCUAGUCUCUGACCAUAAACGAUGCCAACUGACGAUCCGUGAUGGUAGCAUUUAAACCUUCCUAGCGACGGGCAGUCCCCGGGAAACCAUUAAGUCUAUGGACGUUCUCGGGGGAAGCUUAUGGCUUGCAAAGCUGAAACUUAAAGGAAUUGAUCGGUCAAGGGCACCAAUUCCAGGAGUGGAGCCUGCGGCUUAAUUUGACUCAACACGGGAAAACUCACCCGGGCCGGACACUAUGAGGAUUGACAGAUUGAAAGCGUCUUUCUUGAUUUGGUGGUUGGUGGUGCAUGGCCGUUCUUAGUUGGUGGAGCGAUUUGUCAUUGGUUAAUUCCGAUAACGAACGAGACUCCAGCCUGUCCCUCUAAUUAGUUGACUCCUGUCCACUGUUCUUGUGCAGGCGGACGUAUUCCGAAUCUGCUCUGGACGGCUGAGCCGCUGGUGUUGUGUGUGUGGGUGUGUCGGGUGACGGUCGCAAGGCUGUUGCUUGGCGCGCCGACACGCGCUUCGUCGGCGGCUCAGAUGGCUUGAGUGGAUGAGGUAUGCGUCUGCUUCCGCAAGUACGGCGGACGGGUGUCUACUUCUUAGAGGGACAAGCGGGAGAAGCGUUCGCUAUCGAAAUUGAGCAAUAACAGGUCUGUGAUGCCACUUAGAUCGUCCGGGGACCGCCAACGCGCGAAUCUACAAUGACGGUGGCAACGAGUCUGACCUCAUAGUGUCUGGCCCGAAAGGGUUGGGUAAACUGGUCAAUCACCGUCAUGACAGGGAUCGGGGCUUGGAAUUGUUCCCCGUGAACGAGGAAUUCCUAGUAAGUGCAAGUCAUAAGCUUUGCGCUGAUUACGUCCCUCGGAACCCUUUGUACACACCGUUUCCCGUCGCUACUACCGAUUAGAAUGGUUUAGUAAGGUACCUUCACGGAUUGGCGCCAUUGAAGCCGCGAGGCUCAGGCGGUGCUGAGAAGUACGACCGAACUUGAUCAUCUUAGAGGAAGUAAAAUCGUACAAGUCUAGCCCGGGGGCAAUAAAAAUUCGGGGGGGUGUUGUUU
rnacentral:rRNA from 1 species